rnacentral:rRNA from 1 species
GAUGAACGCUGGCGGCGUGCCUAAUACAUGCAAGUCGAGCGAAUGGAUUAAGAGCUUGCUCUUAUGAAGUUAGCGGCGGACGGGUGAGUAACACGUGGGUAACCUGCCCAUAAGACUGGGAUAACUCCGGGAAACCGGGGCUAAUACCGGAUAACAUUUUGAACCGCAUGGUUCGAAAUUGAAAGGCGGCUUCGGCUGUCACUUAUGGAUGGACCCGCGUCGCAUUAGCUAGUUGGUGAGGUAACGGCUCACCAAGGCAACGAUGCGUAGCCGACAUGAGAGGGUGAGCGGCCACGCUGGGACUGAGACACGGCCCAGACUCCUACGGGAGGCAGCAGUAGGGAAUCUUCCGCAAUGGACGAAAGUCUGACGGAGCAACGCCGCGUGAGUGAUGAAGGCUUUCGGGUCGUAAAACUCUGUUGUUAGGGAAGAACAAGUGCUAGUUGAAUAAGCUGGCACCUUGACGGUACCUAACCAGAAAGCCACGGCUAACUAUGUGCCAGCCGCCGCGGUAA